rnacentral:rRNA from 1 species
CGGUGUUUAACUGGCGUGAUGUGGGACGUCCUACCGGUGGGCUUAGCCUCGCGAGGGGCGGCCCAACUAAUAUCCCGUCGCGGUGCUCUUUACUGAGUGUCGAGUCGGGCCGGUACGUUUACUUUGAACAAAUUAGAGUGCUUAAAGCAGGCUAUCCUCGCCUGAAUACUGCGUGCAUGGAAUAAUGGAAUAGGACCUCGGUUCUAUUUUGUUGGUUUUCGGAACCCCGAGGUAAUGAUUAAUAGGGACAGAUGGGGGCAUUCGUAUUGCGACGUUAGAGGUGAAAUUCUUGGAUCGUCGCAAGACGGACAGAAGCGAAAGCAUUUGCCAAAAAUGUUUUCAUUAAUCAAGAACGAAAGUUAGAGGUUCGAAGGCGAUCAGAUACCGCCCUAGUUCUAACCAUAAACGAUGCCAGCUAGCGAUCCGCCGAAGUUCCUCCGAUGACUCGGCGGGCAGCUUCCGGGAAACCAAAGCUUUUGGGUUCCGGGGGAAGUAUGGUUGCAAAGCUGAAACUUAGAGGAAUUGACGGAAGGGCACCACCAGGAGUGGAGCCUGCGGCUUAAUUUGACUCAACACGGGAAACCUCACCAGGCCCAGACACCGGAAGGAUUGACAGAUUGAUAGCUCUUUCUUGAUUCGGUGGGUGGUGGUGCAUGGCCGUUCUUAGUUGGUGGAGCGAUUUGUCUGGUUAAUUCCGAUAACGAACGAGGCUCUAGCCUGCUAAAUAGGCGUACCUUAUGGUAUCGCGAAGGCCCCCGGCUUCGGCCGGUGGGUUUUUACUACCAACGUACAAACAAAUCUUCUUAGAGGGCACAGCGCGG